rnacentral:lncRNA from 1 species
CUUCACUUCCUGUAACAGAGAUGGCUCCUUCACAUGCUUAUUGUACUUGGAAGCAUGGAAGGCCUGAAAUCCCUCAGAGAUUAGGUGUCUUCUUUUUCCCCAAAAUUCAGGGAUUUUUCCCCACAAAAGUGGCCAGCCGUUUGAUUUCUUUCAUUUGUACUGAAAUUGGUUUUGCAGCCAUCCAAUUUUCCCAUGAACUCCAUAAUUCUAAAUCAUAUUUUCAGGGAUUUGAUGUGAUAGACAUUAAGUGAGUAGUAAUUUAGGUUUUUAGGUUUUAAAAAGGAAAAGAAAGGGAAGUGCCCAUAUAAAGGGUGUAUUUCUUUCUCUGAAGACCUUGCGCUUGGGAGCUUCUUCUGCCUCUAGCUUUGGUAAGGGUCCUUUUCAUUUGUAAUACUUCAAACGGUUUUUUUUGCUCCUGUAAUUCGAUCUGUAAUUCAAUCUAAUACUUCACUUAAUCAGGCUUUUUUUGCUCCUGUAAUUCGAUCUGUAAUUCAAUCUAAUACUUCACUUAAUCAGGUUUUUUCUUCUUUUCUUUUUCCUAUUUAAUUUGCAUUGUUUGCAUUCUUUUUUGUUCCUUUUGCAGUUGUGUUUGGGUUAGCUGUUCAAUUAGCUUUUUGAGUUUUCAUUUUCGGCCAAUUUAGAAGCUUAGAUAUCUUGAUUAUCAGUUUUUUUUAGAUAAAGUUCACUUCUUGCCAUUGAUAUCAACCUCUUGACUUUAUUUAAGACAUUGGAAUUGAUACUUUUGUUUUUUCCUGAAAAAAUGGAUGUUGCUUUUUCAAUAUUUGUUGACAAAUUUUCGUUCUCUUUCAAGAAAUUUUUUGUAAAUCAAAUUUUGGUAGGUUAUGGUGCAAAAACUACAUAUAUUAUAAAUCAAAAAUACUACUGCAGAAACUACAGUCACUUAAGAUUAUGAUCCAUGAAGAACCUGUAUACUUAAUUAUUUUUCAUUGCACUUUUUCUUUGGCCUCUCCUUAAAAAACAAAUUUAUCAGUCUGCUUAUGAAUUAACUAAACAUCCAUGUAGAAGCCAUGUAUUAUAGCAACUUAGGAAACAGCUACAACUUCAGUCAUAUACAGGGAUAUAGGAGACCAUGGCCACGUUGACUUCCUAUCAACAAUAAAGACUAAAAUUGUCACUAAGAAUAUGUUAAUGGUUCAUAAAUGCCCUGACCUCAGAGUCUCUAAAUCUACAAACUAUCACUUCUACCACAGAUAGACAUGUCUUCAUAACCUUAUAGGAUCAAGUUUUUUUUUUUUUUCUGGUUUUCACCAUUAUAUAACAAUAUUAGUAAACAGUUUAUCUAGACAAUGUUUUAGGCUCAGAUCAUUUGACUAUGUUUUCACUAACAAUAAAACUUAACAGAAUAGUAAACGGAUCAAUAAUGAGAGUUAUAAGACCAUUAUUUAUUAAUUUGGUUGAUUUUCUUCUAACAAUGUACUUACUUUACUUGAAAACAUAUUUUUAUACUUCUAGAUCAUAACUAAACAAUAAGUUUUAUCGAGUUAUGAAAAUGGUGUCUAGCGCUGCUACUGUGAUUCUUCAAUUUUCUUUUUCAUUGUGAAUCUUUAUUCUUCCUUUUCUUAUAUUGAUUUUGCCUUUUUUGUUUUUGCCUAUGCUUACAAAAUGUCGACCUGUUUCUUCAACUGAAGCUGUCUAUUCUAUUUGCUGUGCAUCUUUUGCUCCAACAAGUUGGCAUAUACAGCUCUCAGGUUUGUCUAAGAAACUAAAUUUUGUGCUGCUUUUUUUUUGUCUAAAGGAUUUGGAUUUAUCUGCUGUUGAUUAUAUUACAGGUUGUAUGUCUCAUGUUAAAAAAUUUUAAGUUUCAGGCAUAUUAAUUGCUAUCUGUUUCAUUAUUACAUGAUUGUGAGAUACAUGAUAUAGUUAAUGAUUUUCUUUUUGUUAUGAAGAAUAAAAGCCUUCACAUGAUGAGAAUGAAUGUCUGUUCCAUAUAGAAAGCCUUGGAUAGUAGUCUUCUUUUUUUGUCAUGGACUCUAUGGCCAAAGAAAAUCUUGAUGAUGUUCCUACUGUGAUUUCUCAGUUUGAUGUGGGUCAAAUGAUGAGGAAAAAAGAUUGUAGAAAAAAUACAGUUCUUAGAUGAAAAAGAAACGGUUAGAUAGAGCAAUAAAAAGUCAUAGUGUAGGAACUUUGUCUUCUGCUAUUGCAUCUGCCUCGCCACCUGUAAAUUUGAGUAAUAUACAAGUGUGUACGCCUGCACUAUUCCAGUUUACAGGGAGGCACACUUCCAACCUGACAGACUAUCCUACACAAAUGAGUGUGAGAUCACAGGCCAAAACAUCUCAAACAAACCAUCUUUUUGAGGUAGCCUCUUUAGAAAAUGAUCCUAGAUUCAAUUGAGCGCAAGUCUGAUAAUGCAGAUAAGCCAGCCUCUUCAAACAUUGCUACAAAAAGAAGCUUAACUUUUGAAACUCCACCUACUACUGAGAAGACAACCAUUGAAGCUGUUCUCUUAAUUGCUGGAAAAAAUGGUCCUGAAGACAACAAGCCUGCAUCUUCAAAAUCUGCUCAUAUGAGCCCUCUCAAGAAGCCACGUGAAUCUACAAAAUGAAGCAGUCACACAGCUUCAUAUCCUCUUUUGUUCAUCCUUUUGUUCAUCAUGGAUGCUACUGAACUUUUAGCAUGCUAUCUUUUGCCAUCAUAUUAGAAUCCAUUAACAUUCUUGCUAUGACUAGAAGUUAAUGAAUACUAAUAUAUGAUAUUAUGUAACUAUUAGCAUGCAUUAUGUAUCUCUACUUGGGACUUAUUGUACUGGAAGGUGUGUAACUGCUACUGAAAUUGUUGACAGCUAUCUAUGAAUGGUAAUUAUGAUAUUAUGUACCUAUUUUGUAACUAGAAUUGUUAUAUAUGCUUUUCCAAUGAUCAGUAUUUUAGGAGGGCCAAAGCUGUGCCUUGCACAGCCUGGUUCCUCUAGUAUUUAUACAAAAUAAUGAUAAUCUUACUGCUGGAGGCAGGAGAGGACUAAUAGAGACAACAGCAGACCAGCAGGAGUGGUGGACCCUCUUAACUUAUAAGAAAUUGUAGUGUACUUAUAGCAAUGUAUAAGUUAUUAAGUUUCUUUCCUUCCUUCCCUCACCCUCAAAAUAUUCUAGUUAUUUCUUCUCUUUAAAUUUAACUUUGACUAAUUUUCAUUGUUCUUCACAUUAUGAAUCUGUGCACAUAGGAUUAAUUUCUUCUCUUAAUCAUAUGAGCAUUGUAUAUAAAUUUUAAAUUUCAAUAUAUAACGUUGUUCAAUAGGUGUAA